AAUGAUAAAGUUACCCUCCUUGAUAUGGAGGUAAAGAAGUCCUUAUUUCUAUCAUUA
rnacentral:tRNA from 1 species